UACGUAGGGGGCUAGCGUUAUCCGGAUUUACUGGGGCGUAAAGGGUGCGUAGGUGGUUUCUUAAGUCAGGAGUGAAAGGCUACGGCUUAACCGUAGUAAGCUCUUGAAACUGGGUGGCUUGAGUAUGGAAGAGGUAAGUGGAAUUCCUAGUGUAGCGGUGAAAUGCGUAGAUAUUAGGAGGAACACCAGUGGCGAAGGCGACUUACUGGUCCAUAACUGACGCUGAGGCGCGAAAGCGUGGGUAGCGAAAGGGAUUAGAUACCCCCGUAGUCCCUGAGCGGGCUGGGCAAGG
rnacentral:rRNA from 1 species